GAUGAAGAACGUAGCGAAAUGCGAUAAGUAAUGUGAAUUGCAGAAUUCAGUGAAUCAUCGAAUCUUUGAACGCACAUUGCGCCCGCCAGUAUUCUGGCGGGCAUGCCUGUUCGAGCGUCAUUUCAACCCUCAAGACCCCUUCGGGGGACUUGGUGUUGGGGACCGGCACAGGGGCCUGCCUGCUUGUCUUGCAGCGCCCUCGCCGCCCCCGAAAUGAAUUGGCGGCCUCGUCGCGGCCUCCCCUGCGUAGUAGCACAACCUCGCAACGGGAACGUGACGGCGGCCAAUGCCGUAAAACAACCCCAAUUUUAUUAGAGUUGACCUCGAAUCAGGUAGGAAUACCCGCUGAACUUAAGCAUAUCAAUAAGCGGAGGA
rnacentral:misc_RNA from 1 species